rnacentral:rRNA from 1 species
GUGUCAGCAGCCGCGGUAAUACGUAGGGAGCGAGCGUUAUCCGGAUUUAUUGGGCGUAAAGCGUGUGUAGGCGGUUUAUUAAGUAUAAGAUUAAAACCUGAGGCUCAACCUCAGUUCGUCUUAUAAACUGGUAAGCUUGAGUAUAGUAGAGGCAAGUGGAAUUUCUAGUGUAGCGGUUAAAUGUGUAGAUAUUAGAAGGAACACCAGUGGCGAAGGCGACUUGCUGGACUAUCACUGACGCUGAGGCACGAAAGCGUGGGGAGCAAAUAGGAUUAGAUACCCUAGUAGUCCACGCCGUAAACGAUGAGUACUAAGUGUUGGAUUUUCCAGUGCUGAAGUUAACGCAUUAAGUACUCCGCCUGAGUAGUACGGUCGCAAGGCUGAA